rnacentral:rRNA from 1 species
AUUGAACGCUGGCGGCAGGCUUAACACAUGCAAGUCGAGCGGAGAGAGGUAGCUUGCUACUGAUCUUAGCGGCGGACGGGUGAGUAAUGCUUAGGAAUCUGCCUAUUAGUGGGGGACAACAUUCCGAAAGGAAUGCUAAUACCGCAUACGUCCUACGGGAGAAAGCAGGGGAUCUUCGGACCUUGCGCUAAUAGAUGAGCCUAAGUCGGAUUAGCUAGUUGGUGGGGUAAAGGCUUACCAAGGCGACGAUCUGUAGCGGGUCUGAGAGGAUGAACCGCCACACUGGGACUGAGACACGGCCCAGACUCCUACGGGAGGCAGCAGUGGGGAAUAUUGGACAAUGGGCGCAAGCCUGAUCCAGCCAUGCCGCGUGUGUGAAGAAGGCCUUAUGGUUGUAAAGCACUUUAAGCGAGGAGGAGGCUACUUUAGAUAAUACCUAGAGAUAGUGGACGUUACUCGCAGAAUAAGCACCGGCUAACUCUGUGCCAGCCGCCGCAGUAACAC